rnacentral:rRNA from 1 species
GCAGCAGUAGGGAAUCUUCCGCAAUGGACGAAAGUCUGACGGAGCAACGCCGCGUGAGUGAUGAAGGCUUUCGGGUCGUAAAACUCUGUUGUUAGGGAAGAACAAGUGCUAGUUGAAUAAGCUGGCACCUUGACGGUACCUAACCAGAAAGCCACGGCUAACUACGUGCCAGCAGCCGCGGUAAUACGUAGGUGGCAAGCGUUAUCCGGAAUUAUUGGGCGUAAAGCGCGCGCAGGUGGUUUCUUAAGUCUGAUGUGAAAGCCCACGGCUCAACCGUGGAGGGUCAUUGGAAACUGGGAGACUUGAGUGCAGAAGAGGAAAGUGGAAUUCCAUGUGUAGCGGUGAAAUGCGUAGAGAUAUGGAGGAACACCAGUGGCGAAGGCGACUUUCUGGUCUGUAACUGACACUGAGGCGCGAAAGCGUGGGGAGCAAACAGGAUUAGAUACCCUGGUAGUCCACGCCGUAAACGAUGAGUGCUAAGUGUUAGAGGGUUUCCG